rnacentral:lncRNA from 1 species
GAUGUUAUGCUAUUGUUUCAGAAAAAGGGAGAAGGUUUGGAUCCAUUAAAACGUUUAAUCCCGCUGCAAAUGUUUGCACCUGUCCUAAGUCAGGAAUCUGAUGUACAGUAGUUGUCGUUUGUUUAUGUAAUAUAUAUGUGUUUCUCGUUUCUCGUUUUGUUUAUAUAGAUUAGACCGUUGGUUUUCCCGUUUGAAUGGUUUUACACUAGUAAUUUUGGGGCCCUUUAUAGCUUGUUGUUCGGUGUGAGCCAAGGCUCCGUGUUGAAGGCCGUACUUUAACCUAUAAUGGUUUACUUUUUAAAUUGUUAUUUGUAUGGAGAGUUGUCUCAUUGGCACUCACACCACAUCUUCCUAUAUCUA